rnacentral:rRNA from 1 species
AUUGAACGCUGGCGGCAUGCCUUACACAUGCAAGUCGAACGGCAGCAUAGGAGCUUGCUCCUGAUGGCGAGUGGCGAACGGGUGAGUAAUAUAUCGGAACGUGCCCUAGAGUGGGGGAUAACUAGUCGAAAGAUUAGCUAAUACCGCAUACGAUCUACGGAUGAAAGUGGGGGAUCGCAAGACCUCAUGCUCUUGGAGUGGCCGAUAUCUGAUUAGCUAGUUGGUGGGGUAAAGGCCUACCAAGGCGACGAUCAGUAGCUGGUCUGAGAGGACGACCAGCCACACUGGAACUGAGACACGGUCCAGACUCCUACGGGAGGCAGCAGUGGGGAAUUUUGGACAAUGGGGGCAACCCUGAUCCAGCAAUGCCGCGUGAGUGAAGAAGGCCUUCGGGUUGUAAAGCUCUUUUGUCAGGGAAGAAACGGUCGUGGCUAAUACCCAUGGCUAAUGACGGUACCUGAAGAAUAAGCACCGGCUAACUAC